rnacentral:miRNA from 1 species
AUAUGUCAGAUUGUUCUAUU